CCGGUGCGAAAAACGCAAGCUAAACCCAAUAAAUUUAAAAUGGCACCGGUUAACCAAUGGCACUAAUAAUUAAAAUAAAAACCCACGUAUAGUACAUAGGGGCAGCGGUUAACCGAUGCCCUUAUUCCCUUAAUAAUUAAAAAAAAAACCAAGCUUUAAUCCUCCUUCGUUCUCUUUUCUCUCUCUUUUUUCUCGAUCCCCCUUUCCCUUUCCCUUUCUUUCUUUAUCUCUUCUCUCUUUAUCAGGGUCUUCCAUCGCCACCCAUUCCACUGCCAGCCCACUCCAUCUCUCUAUUUCUUUUCUCUCCUCAUUCUUCACGGCGAUGAUGGUGACGUUGGUCGCGAUCCGCUAGCCCACUCCAUCUUUAUAUCUCUUCUCGAGUCCUACUGAAAAUUUCGUGGUUCGAUCUGAUUCAGAUCCAUGGCAUCUAGCUUCUCCCUCAAAAGCAGCCGUAGGGUUUAAUUGAGUUUGACACUCGACUGCAUGUUGCUGCUGCUGCCUUUGCUUUGUUUUAAUGGCGUUGUCUACUUCAGACCUUUCGAUGAUGUAUCAAUUGCUCGGUAAAUCUCUCAGCACAACCAAACUGUUCAAAAACUGGGGAAAACUACGCUUUCUCAGUCCGAAAGUCGGCCUGGUUUCCACUCUUGGUUAUUGGUAAUUUGAAAUUCUUCCUCAGUGGUGAAAGUAUGGAAAAUGCUAUACGGGCAUGCCGUAAAGGAAUCAAAAUAAGAAAAUUCUUAUACAUAAAGAAGCUUCCCUGCUGCUGCCUAAAGUGCACCCCUGAUGCUGCUACUUUUGCUCUGCUAGAGCUGUUGUUGGUACUUUUGCUAUGCUAGAGUUCAUCCAUAAUAAUGCAGCCUUUUUCUUUAUAGUCGUUAUCUCUGGUUUGAACUGUUUUCAGCUUCUUGUUCAAAUUGUUAAGUUGUCACAAAAGAAGGAAUGGAGGGUGAUAAUGGAGGAUGGAAGGAAUGGAGGGUGAUAAUGCUGUUGUUCUUCUACUAUGCAAUUCUUUGUUGCUGCUUCUGUGCUGCUGCUUUUGUGCUGUUGUGCUGCUGCUUCUGUGCUAUUGUGUAGCUGCAUAUGUUGCUCUUUGUGUGUAGGUGGAUUUGGUGAAAUUUAAGGGUAAUUUAGAUGAAAGUUUCCCAUAUACAGAAUUUUAUUUUAUUUUAUUUGUGUGUAAUCUUGUUUUAUAUUUUAUUUUUUUGGACGAAAAUUGUAAUAUU